CGUUAGACGAACGGUCUGGAAAGUCCGACGAUACAGGGUGAUAGUCCCGUAGUUGACGACGUGUGUUCAGUGAAAUCGAGUAGGGCGGGACACGUGAUAUCCUGUCUGAAUAUGGGGGGACCAUCCUCCAAGGCUAAAUACUACUGACUGACCGAUAGUGAACCAGUACCGUGAGGGAAAGGCGAAAAGAACCCCUGUGAGGGGAG
rnacentral:rRNA from 1 species